rnacentral:rRNA from 1 species
GACAGAGGGUGCAAACGUUGUUCGGAUUUACUGGGCGUAAAGCGCGUGUAGGCGGCUUGGCAAGUCGGAUGUGAAAGCCCACGGCUCAACCGUGGAAGCGCAUCCGAAACUGCUUCGCUCGAGUCCGGGAGAGGUGAGUGGAAUUCCUAGUGUAGAGGUGAAAUUCGUAGAUAUUAGGAAGAACACCAGUGGCGAAGGCGGCUCACUGGCCCGGUACUGACGCUGAGGCGCGAAAGCGUGGGGAGCAAACAGG